rnacentral:tRNA from 1 species
AGGGUUAUAGCUCAGUGGUAGAGUGCGUGCUUGGCCAUGCAUAAGGUUAUGGAUUCAAUAUCCAGUGCCUCUG